rnacentral:rRNA from 1 species
GACGAACGCUGGCGGCGUGCUUAACACAUGCAAGUCGAACGGAAAGGCCCUGCUUUUGUGGGGUGCUCGAGUGGCGAACGGGUGAGUAACACGUGAGUAACCUGCCCUUGACUUUGGGAUAACUUCAGGAAACUGGGGCUAAUACCGGAUAGGAGCUCCUGCUGCAUGGUGGGGGUUGGAAAGUUUCGGCGGUCGGGGAUGGACUCGCGGCUUAUCAGCUUGUUGAUGGGGUAGUGGCUUACCAAGGCUUUGACGGGUAGCCGGCCUGAGAGGGUGACCGGCCACAUUGGGACUGAGAUACGGCCCAGACUCCUACGGGAGGCAGCAGUGGGGAAUAUUGCACAAUGGGCGGAAGCCUGAUGCAGCAACGCCGCGUGCGGGAUGACGGCCUUCGGGUUGUAAACCGCUUUCGCCUGUGACGAAGCGUGAGUGACGGUAAUGGGUAAAGAAGCACCGGCUAACUACGUG